rnacentral:rRNA from 1 species
AUACGGAGGGUGCGAGCGUUAAUCGGAAUUACUGGGCGUAAAGCGCGCGUAGGCGGUUUGGUCAGUCGGAUGUGAAAGCCCUGGGCUCAACCUGGGAAUGGCAUUCGAUACUGCCUGACUAGAGUAUGGUAGAGGGAAGUGGAAUUUCCGGUGUAGCGGUGAAAUGCGUAGAUAUCGGAAGGAACACCAGUGGCGAAGGCGACUUCCUGGGCCAAUACUGACGCUGAGGUGCGAAAGCGUGGGGAGCAAACAGGAUUAGAAACCCGAGUAGUCC